rnacentral:rRNA from 1 species
UUGCUCAGAUGACGCUGGCGGCAGGAUAACACAUGCAAGUCGAACGGUAACAGAGAGCAGCUUGCUGCUUUGCUGACGAGUGGCGGACGGGUGAGUAAUGUCUGGGAAACUGCUGAUGGAGGGGGAUAACUACUGGAAACGGUAGCUAAUACCGCAUAACGUCUUCGGACCAAAGUGGGGGACUUUCGGGCCUCAUGCCAUCAGAUGUGCCCAGAUGGGAUUAGCUAGUAGGUGGGGUAACGGCUCACCUAGGCGACGAUCCCUAGCUGGUCUGAGAGGAUGACCAGCCACACUGGAACUGAGACACGGUCCAGACUCCUACGGGAGGCAGCAGUGGGGAAUAUUGCACAAUGGGCGCAAGCCUGAUGCAGCCAUGCCGCGUGUAUGAAGAAGGCCUUCGGGUUGUAAAGUACUUUCAGCGAGGAGGAAGGGAUUGUGGUUAAUAACCGCAGUCAUUGACGUUACUCGCAGAAGAAGCACCGGCUAACUCCGUGCCAGCAGCCGCGGUAAUACGGAGGGUGCAAGCGUUAAUCGGAAUUACUGGGCGUAAAGCGCACGCAGGCGGUCUGUUAAGUCAGAUGUGAAAUCCCCGGGCUCAACCUGGGAACUGCAUUUGAAACUGGCAGGCUUGAGUCUCGUAGAGGGGGGUAGAAUUCCAGGUGUAGCGGUGAAAUGCGUAGAGAUCUGGAGGAAUACCGGUGGCGAAGGCGGCCCCCUGGACGAAGACUGACGCUCAGGUGCGAAAGCGUGGGGAGCAAACAGGAUUAGAUACCCUGGUAGUCCACGCCGUAAACGAUGUCGACUUGGAGGUUGUGCCCUUGAGGCGUGGCUUCCGGAGCUAACGCGUUAAGUCGACCGCCUGGGGAGUACGGCCGCAAGGUUAAAACUCAAAUGAAUUGACGGGGGCCCGCACAAGCGGUGGAGCAUGUGGUUUAAUUCGAUGCAACGCGAAGAACCUUACCUGGUCUUGACAUCCAGAGAAUCCUGCAGAGAUGCGGGAGUGCCUUCGGGAACUCUGAGACAGGUGCUGCA